ensembl:lncRNA
UCAUGUUAAGCAAGAAUGUAGCACAAAUGCUGAGUCACAUCUUGAACCAAUGAUUGAGCAUCUGGUGGGAAGGUAUGGCCAACCCAGGGGAGCUCAGAUGCAUGCCCUGCCUCUGAGUGACUGGAAGGUCUGGAGUCAGGAUUCACCCAUUCCUAGACCUCAAUUAAGGGUUGGCAGUGGAGGUAAGGGUGUCUCAUUAGAGAUCUCUGUGUACCUGGGAUCUUCCAAGGCAGUUUUGAUACACGAACAUAGUCUAUAGAAGUGUCUUCAGCUCUUUCAAAAUGUAUUUUUUUUUUCUCCAUCUACUGUGUCUCAUUACUUCUCCAACUUCUCUGUGAGAGAGCUCAGAAUAAGAAGAAAAUACUUUUAAGUAUGGCAAAUUCAGGAAGAAGUAGGAAAUACCCCUGCCAAAUUUAAGGAUGACAUCAAACCAGUGCCAUACAGAAGGUCCUGAACAGACUGAAUGAAUGAACCUUGUGAAACCAAGCAAUUUCAAAUGCCAAGUGCUCGAAGGAAGAAGCCCCUGCAAUGUUGUGUUAGGCACAGCACUGCUAACUGGUCAAUGAAAAUGGCUCUCCUGGACUCUGGGUAUGUGUACAGAAUGAGUAUGAGAGGCUGGAGAGCAGCUCCAAGGGAAGAGAUCUGGGGGUUCUGAGUGAUGAAAGUUGAACAAAAAUCAGCAGUGAGCCCUGGACAGCCAAAAGGGCCAAGCACAUCUUGAGCCAGUGUAGUUGAGUUAAUAUCAUUUAAAAAUAAUGCAGGAGAUAUUUAAAGCACAUCAGAAGUACAGAGGACUCUUUUUGCAAGUUGAUACCUUCAAAGAAUCCCAAAUCCCUCAAAAGUGAAUUAUAUGGUAUAAAUAAGGUCAGAUAAGAGGCAAUAAAGACUGGUUUUAAUCAUUUAGGAAGAACAGUGUCAGAUGAAGAAAGAAAAAGUUGCUAUUAUGGAUGGUCCUGCUUCAGCACAAGUGAAACAAACAAAACAAUAGCAACCAAAAACACAUAGAGAAAUCCAAACAUCUCUGUGGAGAAAAUGACCAGAUUGACAGUUUUUAGGUAAUAGGAGUCCUGAAUAAUGGGGAGUCACAGAAAAACGUCAUGAUCUUCUGUUAAUUUUAUAAUGAAACAGAAUGAUAGUAGGUUAUGUUAUGUUUGGAAGGCUUUCUUAAUUUGCCUGUGCUUCUAUUAUUUGAGAACAUAAACUACAAACUUCCUCCAUUCUAUCAU